rfam:Triticum urartu cultivar G1812 contig1047082, whole genome shotgun sequence.
CAACUACUCCCUCCGUUUUAAAUUACUUAUCGCUCAAAUGGAUGUAUCUAGCACUAAAAUAGUGUUAGAUUCAUCCACUUGAGCGACAAGUAAUUCAGAAUGAAGGGAGUAGUAG